AUUUCCGGAAGGAGUGGUUUUAAAAUGAAAAGAAUCCAGGAAGUUUGGAAGUCACGGCAGGACGAGGUGCUGCUUCUUCGGUGUAAUGCGACAAUGUCAGCUCAGAUCGUCUUGCAGUGAGCCCGAGAGAGGCAGGUGGGCCCUGCUGAUAUCCACAAGGAGCGGCGCUGAGUAGAGGCACCAGGGGAGAUCCGACCCCCAAACCAAGAAACGUACACGUGACUUAAUGUGUUGUCUUUCAU